CAGGCUGAGGGCGGGAACAAUAGGCUUACGGAGCCGGAAGUGACUGGGUGGUGCCUCCGGGAAACCCUAGACUUGCUGUCAAUUCCCGUUGCUCCGGUCAGGGCUGUGUGUGGGCGCCGGUCUCGCCAGUAGGAUUGCAACGUCGGCUCUCCACAGUUGGCAGACCUGUUCCUUGUAUUUCGAGGUGUGGCGGGUUGAGUGAAGCUAGGCACGACAAGCGUGGAGCCUGCGGUAGCUAAGUAGCUCCGAGCCACCCGCCGGGUUUCUCCCCCAGCUUGUGAGCUCCGAGGAAUCAAAACACAAGAUGCAUAGUUUACUUAAACCUCACGGUUUUGUUGUUGUUAGUUUUUGAGACCAAAACGAAGUUCUAUCUGACCGGAACAGUGAGCCCAGGGAGCAGUAGUCUGUAAGAAGGACCCUUCAACUGUACUGAACUCAGAUUGUCAGGCCUGGCAGCAACCAUUUUUACCUACUGAGCCAUUUCGCCAGCCCAGACCCUUUGUUUGCAUGAUCUUUUAUUUUUCAAGAAGUAUUGUGACAAUAUCAAAUCUCAUGGAAAGCUUGUUUUUAGUCCACAAGCUUGAAAGUAAUAAGUAAAUGCUUUGGGUAUUCCUGGGUGUCCUGGAACUCAGAGAUCUGCCUGUCUCUGCCCCCUGAGUGCUGGAAUUAAAGGCAUACACCACCAUG